GGCCCGGGUAGAUCGACCGCGUCGUUUGGACCGCGUCACACGAGGGGUAACCCUGAGGAAAGCCACGACCCUAGACAUCGGGGAGGAAAACCACGGCUCGAGAUAACGACGGUGCCGUCGACCAAGAUCCAGUGCCCUGCCUGGCUGCCUCCUCCGCGUCCGAGCUCCUCCACCGGCGACAUAAGCGACGCCCUCAACCCCCUCCGUCUGUUGCUCAGGAUCCAAGCUCCGCCCCUCCAGCAACGGUGAUGGACCGCGGCCGUCACCGUCCUCCUUCCCGGAUCUCUACUCCGCCUCUAAGCUCUGGCCUCCUCUGGUGACCGCGACGACGACGGUUCUCUGUUCGUUUUCUACCUCCUCCGGUCAAGAUCCAGGAAAGUGAGCACAGCCUCCUCUCAGAUCAUUUUCACCAUCGUCAAUCUCAGGUACGUGCUUCAAUGUCAACUUAUCGAAGGCAGCAAGUGCCCCUAAAACAUCGAGCUGUGGUACCUGAUGUCGACGUGGAGUGGGGAACGAGCUGAGCAAAACUAUUGACCAUCACCUUGCAGCUCAUCUUCUUCAGUAGUGUGUCCGCCUCAAACAUGACAACUUGGGAAUUUAGAGUUUUUUGUAUUGUACAACUCAUUAGCUCCUAUGCUUCUGCUAUAGCUAACCUUUUGCCUUAGUUGUAAUGGUGCAGUCCUAAAAAUUGAGUACCAAUCUUAACAAUGAUGGGUCAUAUUAGGUGUAAUGUAUUGCACACGAAAACGAUUUAGGCUAUCACUUGAUCGCGGUGAAAUGUAGACCAAUAUCUUAACCUUGAUAAAGUGAUGAAAUAUCAGUUGUAUUAUUUUUGGAAA